AUUGAACGCUGGCGGCAUGCCUAACACAUGCCAGUCGAACGGCAGCACGGGAGCUGGCUGCUGGUGGCGGGUGCCGAAGGGGUGCGGAAUACAUAGGCACAUGUCCCGACUUGGGCGUGAGCGCUAAGGAAGGCGGAUUAAUACCGCAAACGCAUAACGCCUGAAAGUGGAGGAACGGGGGCUCUCGCGCUUUAGGGUUUGAAGAUGGCGAUGUCGGAUUAGCUAGUUGGCGGGGUAAAGGCCCACCAAGGCGACGAUCCGUAGCUGGACUGAGAGGAUGAUCAGCCACACUGGAACUGAGACACGGCCCAGACUCCUACGGGAGGCAGCAGUGGGGAAUUUUGGACAAUGGGCGAAAGCCUGAUCCAGCAAUGCCGCGUGUGUGAAGAAGGCCUUCGGGUUGUAAAGCACUUUUGUCGGGAAAGAAAUCCUUGACUCUAAUACAGUCGGGGGAUGACGGUACCGGAAGAAUAAGCACCGGCUAACUACGUG
rnacentral:rRNA from 1 species